CACGAGUUGUGCAAUGUCUAGUGUGUUUGCAAACGUAACUCUUUAAUAAUCUAAGUUAUUGGCUAUGCUUUUCCUUUAGAUUUGAAUACAAACGAGCUGUGUUAACAACAAGCAGUGCUAAACGACUUAACGUCUUGACUAUUAAACAAGAUAACACGAGGUCGAAUUUAUAUACUCACAUUAUUCUUAUACGAAAAUUAACAAACAACAGAUUACCAUACGCUAACUUUGCCAAAGGAAAAGGUGGACGGCAAGCUAACCUGCAUUCCUACAUCGAUCUUCGCUGUACGAAUAAUUCGAACAAAUUAAGAUAUAUAAAUUCAUCAAUAAUAUGGCUGCAAAAUGCUUGCAUCUCGGCUUUCUUGGUAUGAUCUGU